UCUGCAGGCAAAGCUAAAUGGCUGCUGCUUUACCAUUUUGCACAGUACACCCAAACUCCUGCAGAUAUCAAUUGUCAAUUUCGUGAACUGGACAAGUUUAUUUGCUAGAAAUGUUCGGUCUUUAAAGUUGUCUACA
rnacentral:snoRNA from 2 species